rnacentral:miRNA from 1 species
UGAUGAAUGCUGACGAUGUUG